GACGAACGCUGGCGGCGUGCUUAACACAUGCAAGUCGAACGGAAAGGCCCUGCCUUUGUGGGGUGCUCGAGUGGCGAACGGGUGAGUAACACGUGAGUAACCUGCCCUUGACUUUGGGAUAACUUCAGGAAACUGGGGCUAAUACCGGAUAGGAGCUCCUGCUGCAUGGUGGGGGUUGGAAAGUUUCGGCGGUUGGGGAUGGACUCGCGGCUUAUCAGCUUGUUGGUGGGGUAGUGGCUUACCAAGGCUUUGACGGGUAGCCGGCCUGAGAGGGUGACCGGCCACAUUGGGACUGAGAGACGGCCCAGACUCCUACGGGAGGCAGCAGUGGGGAAUAUUGCACAAUGGGCGGAAGCCUGAUGCAGCAACGCCGCGUGCGGGAUGACGGCCUUCGGGUUGUAAACCGCUUUCGCCUGUGACGAAGCGUGAGUGACGGUAAUGGGUAAAGAAGCACCGGCUAACUACGUG
rnacentral:rRNA from 1 species